AGAACACAAUUCAAGUUGGAGAUGCAAUUACAUAGAUUCCAAUCUUACAAACGCAUACCUAAGUAGAUGUGAACACUGACCCCAAAAGUUCAUGUUUAAUAAUGUUACUACUAACCUAUCUGCUUCAUCCAGAAAUGUUGAAACCUAGCUACCCAAAUUAACUUAACCAUUAAAAGACUGAAAGGGAAGGGUCAACUGAUCAAGAAGCGCAGUUACUGGAACAGCCAACCUAGGCUCGUAAGCAAAACCAUGCAAUUCACCACUAUCAUCUCCACUACUGACACCACCUCCAUGAACGUAAGGACAGGGAGGAAUCCACUGCCAGCUCUUCCUGCAGAUAUCAAACAGCAGAGACUUAUCAGAUCCUCGGAUCAUAAUUGCAAUAAACUCACCGUGCCCAACACAGUUAAACCCACGACCAGCUUCCAGUUCUGAGAAUUGAAUGUAAAGUUGCUGAGGCAUCCUUUCGAUCUCUACCCAUGUUGUUCCACAAGAUUGUAAACCCCAAAGUCUCAAGCUCUUUGGUACAUUGAGCUUGCUCUUCUCUACUGCUGCCACAAGUAUCAGUUUCCCUGUACUCUCAACCAAGCUUGGUGAACGUAGGAAUCUUCGCAUGGGAGCUUGAAUGUUACGCCAAUUGUUUGCUGCUAUAUCAUAAGCCAAGACACUGAAUGGGCUAUAAUUCAUGCAAUAGAAUUUAUCACCAGCAUAAAUCAUUUGACCUGAUUCAAGGCUACAAAGCCUUGGUAGGGAAGAAGUGGUGCCCCAGAGAGAGUAAAACCCACCUGCAUCGAUAUGAAAGCAUUCAGUGGAUAAAUUCUUAACUGCAAAUGGAGAAAUCAAGUCAUCUCCUGCAACUGCUACAUCAAUGGAGGAUGGGCCAACUGCUAAGCCAAUUGAAGGAAAGAGACGUGGUCUUAAUGUGGGUGGCAAUUGAGAUAGAGAACCAACAAGUGGAUUGCAUAGAAUAAGACUCUUUGUACCAGCCUCAUCUGAGACCCAACAGAUUAAACCACCAGAAGAAGCAGCAGGAGAGAACCCGGGUGGAAUCAGAGCAAAGGAAAUUCGAUACCAUGCAAUAUCAUGAGGAUCAAAGAGGUACCCUUCAAAAUUGGUUCUACUUUGGCCAUUCCCACUCGAGCUGUUGUUUCUAUAGAUGUAGCUCUUAAGGCUUUUAUGCUUGAAGAACAGAAACCAGUGGUGGCGAGGUGAUAUUUGGAUAUAGAGCUCGAGAAAGCUAUUUGAAAACAAGAGAGCAUACCAUCUCCGGCAGACACAGCGAGCUCGAAAAAAGGCUGGAGGUGGAAGAAAAGCGAUCACACGAUCAAGCAAUCUUUGUGGGAGUUUGCUCCAUAUCCUGCUGUCCAUCCAAGGAUUGGUGAUAGUAUUGGUAGAACUAGUGCUACUAGUACUAGUAGCGAAAGUGUAAGAAGAGG
rnacentral:misc_RNA from 1 species